CCUACGGGUGGCAGCAGUGGGGAAUAUUGCGCAAUGGGCGAAAGCCUGACGCAGCGACGCCGCGUGAGUGAUGAAGGUCUUCGGAUCGUAAACCUCUGUCAGCAGGGAAGAACGGUCACUGUGCUAAUCAGCAGUGAAUUGACGGUACCUGCAAAGGAAGCACCGGCUAACUCCGUGCCAGCAGCCGCGGUAAUACGGAGGGUGCGAGCGUUAAUCGGAAUUACUGGGCGUAAAGCGCUCGUAGGCGGUAUGUCAAGUCAAGGGUGAAAUCCCCGCGCUCAACGUGGGAACUGCCUUUGAAACUGGCAAACUGGAGUGUGUGAGAGGAUAGUGGAAUUCCAGGUGUAGGAGUGAAAUGCGUAGAUAUCUGGAGGAACAUCAGUGGCGAAGGCGACUAUCUGGCACAUAACUGACGCUGAGGAGCGAAAGCGUGGGUAGCAAACAGGAUUAGAUACCCGGGUAGUC
rnacentral:rRNA from 1 species